UAGGGAAUCUUCGGCAAUGGACGGAAGUCUGACCGAGCAACGCCGCGUGAGUGAAGAAGGUUUUCGGAUCGUAAAGCUCUGUUGUAAGAGAAGAACGAGUGUGAGAGUGGAAAGUUCACACUGUGACGGUAUCUUACCAGAAAGGGACGGCUAACUACGUGCCAGCAGCCGCGGUAAUACGUAGGUCCCGAGCGUUGUCCGGAUUUAUUGGGCGUAAAGCGAGCGCAGGCGGUUAGAUAAGUCUGAAGUUAAAGGCUGUGGCUUAACCAUAGUACGCUUUGGAAACUGUUUAACUUGAGUGCAAGAGGGGAGAGUGGAAUUCCAUGUGUAGCGGUGGAAUGCGUAGAUAUAUGGAGGAACACCGGUGGCGAAAGCGGCUCUCUGGCUUGUAACUGACGCUGAGGCUCGAAAGCGUGGGGAGCAAACAGGAUUAGAUACCCUGGUAGUCCACGCCGUAAACGAUGAGUGCUAGGUGUUAGACCCUUUCCGGGGUUUAGUGCCGUAGCUAACGCAUUAAGCACUCCGCCUGGGGAGUACGACCGCAAGGUUG
rnacentral:rRNA from 1 species